UAAACGAUUUAUUAGGUCUUUCCACUUUUCUGUGGAAAGACCUAUUGUUUUUCUUCUGAUUAUUUUUUUUUUCUUCCGCCUAAUUUUGUUCUUGCGAUAAACAUUUGUUUCGCAAUAUGUCGCUUAGAUAUUUUGUAUAUGAUAUCGAACAGUUUAUGCGCUUUUGAAAUUUACCCUGCGUAAACGAAUACUUUUCUUUGUAGGAGUUAUCUCCCCAAACACUGUUUUCCUUGUUAUGGCAUCUCCUUCGCAACCGUUACAGAUUAUGACAAAUUUAUUUUACAAAAUUGUUCGUUACAUCCUCAGUAAUUUUUGGC
rnacentral:lncRNA from 1 species